rnacentral:rRNA from 1 species
UACGGGGGGUGCGAGCGUUGUCCGGAAUCACUGGGCGGAAAGGGCGCGUAGGUGGUUUGAUAAGGGUGUGGUGAAAGUCCGGGGCUCAACCCCGGAUCUGCCGUGCCGACUGUCAAACUCGAGGACUGUAGAGGCAGACGGAAUUCCGGGUGUAGCGGUGGAAUGCGUAGAGAUCCGGAGGAAGACCGGUGGCGAAGGCGGUCUGCUGGGCAGUUUCUGACACUGAGGCGCGACAGCGUGGGGAGCAAACAGG